rnacentral:rRNA from 1 species
CAAGACCUGCACUUUUGGAGCGGCCGAUGUCUGAUUAGCUAGUUGGUGGGGUAAUGGCCUACCAAAGCUUCGAUCAGUAGCUGGUCUGAGAGGACGGCCAGCCACACUGGGACUGAGACACGGCCCAGACUCCUACGGGAGGCAGCAGUGGGGAAUUUUGGACAGUGGGCGCAAGCCUGAUCCAGCCAUGCCGCGUGAGUGAAGAAGGCCUUCGGGUUGUAAAGCUCUUUCAGCCGGGAAGAAAAGGUUGCGACUAAUAAUCGCAAUCCAUGACGGUACCGAAAGAAGAAGCACCGGCUAACUACGUGCCAGCAGCCGCGGUAAUACGUAGGGUGCGAGCGUUAAUCGGAAUUACUGGGCGUAAAGGGUGCGCAGGCGGUUUUGUAAGUCAGAUGUGAAAUCCCCGGGCUUAACCUGGGAACU